rnacentral:rRNA from 1 species
AUUGAACGCUGGCGGCAGGCCUAACACAUGCAAGUCGAACGGUAGCACAGAGAGCUUGCUCUCGGGUGACGAGUGGCGGACGGGUGAGUAACGUCUGGGAAACUGCCCGAUGGAGGGGGAUAACUACUGGAAACGGUAGCUAAUACCGCAUAACGUCGCAAGACCAAAGUGGGGGACCUUCGGGCCUCACACCAUCGGAUGUGCCCAGAUGGGAUUAGCUAGUAGGUGGGGUAAUGGCUCACCUAGGCGACGAUCCCUAGCUGGUCUGAGAGGAUGACCAGCCACACUGGAACUGAGACACGGGCCAGACUCUUACGGGAGGCAGCAGUGGGGAAUAUUGCACAAUGGGCGCAAGCCUGAUGCAGCCAUGCCGCGUGUAUGAAGAAGGCCUUCGGGUUGUAAAGUACUUUCAGCGGGGAGGAAGGCGGUGAAGUUAAUAGCUUCACCGAUUGACGUUACCCGCAGAAGAAGCACCGGCUAACUCCGUGCCAGCAGCCGCGGUAA